UUGUUGGAGAGUUUGAUCCUGGCUCAGGACGAACGCUGGCGGCGUGCUUAACACAUGCAAGUCGAACG
rnacentral:rRNA from 1 species